AUUGUUGCCAUCAUAGGGGUUCCCUGGGGAAAUGCUCGGGUUUGGCUCCUCCAAGCAUCUGGGAUGGUCUGGGGCCCUGACUGGUGCAGGAAUGCUGACAGACCGGUGGACCCCCUCUGUUCCAGACCCCCCCUGCUCUGGCUCAGGUUCACCCAGAGGCUGGGUGGAAGGGGGCUCUGAAGGAAGAAAUGAGAUUAAAGUGAACUCUGCAAACGUGCUGGCCAAAACCAGCUCAGUUUGUUUUUCAUGAUGUCACUUCUAUUUUAAAAUCCAAGUUACGGAAACCAUUUACAGUGGACUUUUAACAAGACUGGAGUUUCCUGUGGGCAAGAUACUUCUAAAGAGUUACUCCUGUUAGGGUCCCAAGAAACUGUGUUCUUAAGUAUAAUAGAAAUGUCUGGGGGGUGAAUUUUUGAAAGAAAAUUGGAAGCUAGCUAUUUUUAGAAUCUUUUGGUUUUUAAAAAUAUAAUUUCAGAGAGGAGAAAAAAAUAUUUUAACUUGUAGGUAAGAGGUGUGUGAAAGUUGCUUGACAGUCUUUCAGGGGAUGAUUCAGGUAAUUAUAAAAAGGCCUGAAGUAAAGCUACUGCUGUCUUCUUAUUUAUUUAGUUGUUCAUUGAUUCCUCAGGUGAAGGAAUAGUGGCAAGAUUUUUGGCUCUGUGAUGUCCAGCAGAAUACCUUCAUUUCUGAUUUUUCAACUUUUCUGCUUAACAAACAGAGAAUUGAAAUUUGAUUGAUUGGAAGUGAUGGCUUUGUUUCCAUUUCCCUAAAUGUUUCUUAUGUGACUGUGAACUUGCUAGAGUGAAGAACUUACUUUACCUUAUAGUUACAUACCUGAAAAAAGAAUACUAGCGCUUUUGACUUUUAACAUAUAUAAUGUUUUCAUGGUAAAGCUAAGACGGAUACUUAGAAGAAAACUAGCUCUGCUCAUCAAAAAAGUGCAAAGUAUUUGCAAAGCCAAAAUUGAUGCUUACAGUUUUGCCUACAAUUUUGCAGUAAGAUGUGCCACAAAUACUCACAGUCUAAAUAACUGCUCCUUCUAAAAACUUGUGAUUUAUUACGCAUGUAUCUUUCUCUGUGCUGCACUGCUACAGUGAGUGGUGGAAAGCAAAUAGAGUACCAAAUGUGUUUAAUGGAAGGUGAAGGGGCUUGUUUGAUUAGAUUAGGGCUUCAGGUGGCCUUUAUGCCCUUUUUAGGCAAUGAGAAUUCCUGACACCAUGUUUUAAAACCUGUUUUUUAACAUUAUAUACGAGUGUCAUAUGUGCUGUGGUUUCUUUGUAGGGAAUGUUUCUGAAUGUCAUUACCAAGCAAUCUCUGUGUAGUACAGAUAUGCUAAUCAGUGCUACCAUCGUAACUUUUUAAAGGUGUCUCAUGUUAAAUAUGUUUUCAUAUUUUAAAAAACUUUUGAUUGAUAGGUAUUAAAAAAUAUGUCCAAAACUCUUUAAAUUUAAAUUUCCCGGGCCACAUGUGAUUCUAUUCCUCUUGCUGAAGUGAAGACUCAGUUACAGAAGUAGUGAGUUUUUUGCUCUCCUGCUUUAUUUUUCACUUUUUUUUGCGUGUGAACACUGUAGCUCAGGAUUUGAAAUGGCUACUUUGAUCAAAUUACAGAAACAAGUGAGACUAAGGGCUAUGACCUGAACAUUAAUUAGUGUAUUAUAAAGGAUGAGUAGUUUUCCAAUGUAAAACAUACCAAUGCAGUAAAUAAAAGGUAAUUAAUUCUGGGUGACAGCGUUUUGCAGCGAUUCACAGAGAGGAAAUGCAGCCUCUGUGAAUAUAAUGUAUGGUUAUGCAGUGCUACUCUGCGUCAGAGUAAGGGGAGCAUUAUUCUGCAGUACGCUAACUAUUCUGCUCCUUUUAAUUACCCAUUAAAACUACACCUUUUAAUAUUUCAAUGCAAAUGGACACGCAGAACUGUGGUAAUUAGCAGCAUGUUGAUGUAGGAUUCAGAUGGUGCAGCCUGGUCACAAACAAUGCUGUGUAAUCAGCUGCAGGAAAUGUUUUUCUCUUAUGAUAGUGUGUAAUGGCUUAAACUGUAGGGAAGGGCAAAACAUUGAGGCUUUAGGAAUGAGAAGUUUGCAUGCAGAUUGUGUGGCAUCUGCUGCAGCUAUCAGCUAAUUGUCCUUCAGCUGUUACACACCUGGAGAAACAAAUACCAUGAAACUAUGAAAACUGUAGGAGGUGGCAUGCGAGACCAUAGAGACACUCCUUUAGUUACUUCUGGAACAUGGCUUUGAAAAACAUAGGUGUGCUACCCUCUGCGUUUUCUGCAGCCAUUACACUCUGAUGUUCUCAGCUCUGUGGCCUCUUGCAAAAAGUCCAAGCUCUUCCAACAUGAUUGGUUUUAGUUCAGAGGAAGCCAGACACUGUUCUUUUGAUGUAAUUUACCAUGAAAUUGAGAAUUCCUCCUGGUUUUUGUUAUGUUUGAGAGAACUUUACCUAAGUUCAGCUUUGGAAUUAUGUCCUAUCAAUGUCAACUGUGGUUUACAAGUAAGCUCUAGUGUUUGUAUCAGUAAUAUUUUUUGAAAACAGACAUCCUGAAAAUAGCUGUAAAUAUAUUCCUCAUUCAGGUGUGGAUGUUGGUAGGAACUGAAAAUCUACCAUUCUUGCAAAGGCAAUUGUUAAAACCAGCUUUACUUCACAUGUAAACUUGACUGAAUGGUGUGGAUGAACCUUUAUGUGCUCAUGUCUCUUCAGUGUCUCUGAAUUAAAAUAUCACCAUAUGUAACUGUGACAGCCAGGGAGACCCUUCUUGAUGUAAACAACUGAGGUGAAGGAAUCCUGUAAGCAGGAUUCCAUGGUAUAGUUUGUAUAUAAGGCCCUUGUUUUCCUUUUACCUAAGAGGCAAUAACUUUAAAUUGACCUGUUUUUGAAGUACACUGUAACUGCAGGUUUGAAGUAAUGCAGUUAGUGCAUGUGAUGUGAGCAUCUGACCUGGAAUGUGGGCUAUUGGAGAACAAAUAACGUUUACUGUAUGUCUGAUCUGUGUUGAAUAUUUCUAUAGAGCCGAGAAAAGGGCUAGGGAGGCUAAUGAGGCUGAAUGUACAGAUGUAGCUUUUGCUCCCCAAAUACGUUACGGAUACUCUUGCUUACUUACAGAGAGUCAUUCAAGUUACCUUUUUUGUGUGCGCUCUCAACUUGAAGCAAGAAUGUAGCUGAAGAAAAGGAGAAUCCCAGAACUUCUUACAGAAAAAUGAGAGAAACUAACUUAUCUGCUUCAACACUGUCAUGAUUAACUGUUUUUUCCAAGCCAAAUGCUCAAAAAUUGUGACUGUAAAAAAAAAAAGGUUCCCUGUGGUUUCCUUGUCCGUGAGAAAUACUGUAUAGACUGUACAUCUUUUGAAGGAUGCCAAUUUCCUCUAAGUAUAAUAUUUAGUGAGCAGUUACACAGUCUGUUCUGUAUUUCUAUUUUUUUUUUUUUUUUUGGUAGUAGGAUUGACUGGAGUGCUGCUACUUAGGAGCUGUAUUUCCUAAGCCUUUCAUCAAGAUCUGGUUAAGAACAAAACUUGGGUUUUGAAGUGUUUGAGCAACUUGCUACUGCCCAAGUCAUGACACUCCCAUUUCGAAAGGACUUGGACAAGUACAAAGAUCUUGAUGAGGAUGAAAUUCUUGGCAAACUUUCGGAAGAAGAACUGAAACAACUGGAAACUGUUUUGGAUGAUCUUGACCCUGAGAACGCACUUCUCCCUGCAGGCUUCCGACAGAAAGACCAGACUGCUAAAAAGGCUUCAGGUCCCUUCGACAGGGAACGACUCCUGGCAUAUUUAGAGAAGCAGGCUCUUGAGCACAAAGACAGGGAAGACUAUGUGCCUUUUACAAGAGAAAAGAAAGGGAAAAUAUUUAUCCCCAAGCAAAAGCCUGUACAGUCUUACACAGAAGAAAAAUUCUCUCUUGAUCCAGAGCUGGAGGAAGCCUUGACCAGUGCCACAGACACAGAAUUAGGUGACCUUGCAGCUAUACUGGGAAUGUCCAACUUGAUAACAAACAAUCAGUUCUGUGAUGUAGUAGGAAGCAGUAAUGGGGUUGACAAAGACAGCUUCUCAAAUAUAGUAAAAGGUGAAAAAAUGUUGCCUGUUUUUGAUGAACCGCCAAAUCCCACAAAUGUGGAGGAGACACUGCAAAGGAUUAAAGAGAACGAUUCUCGUCUUGUUGAAGUUAAUCUAAAUAACAUUAAGAACAUACCAAUUCCAACGCUGAAAGAAUUUGCAAAAGCCUUAGAAACGAACACGCAUGUGAAGAAUUUUAGCCUUGCAGCCACCCGAAGCAAUGAUCCUGUUGCUGUUGCUCUUGCAGAUAUGCUGAGAGUAAACACAAAAUUGAAAAGUUUAAACAUAGAAUCAAACUUCAUCACUGGAGUUGGAAUUUUGGCACUGGUUGAUGCACUGAAAGACAAUGAAACAUUGACAGAGAUCAAAAUUGAUAAUCAGAGGCAGCAGCUGGGCACAGUUGCAGAAGUAGAAAUUGCCAAGAUGCUUGAAGAAAACACCAAGAUCCUCAAAUUUGGAUACCAUUUCACACAACAGGGACCUCGAGCCAGGGCAGCUGCAGCUAUCACAAAAAAUAAUGAUUUGGUCUGGAGUAUGCGAGUAAAAGUUUCUGCAAAUACCUUUUCAUCUCUCGAGCCCUGAAGCUACAGAGACAGGUUACUCUGAAUACCCAGUUGGGUAUUGAGCACUGAAAACUGAGAUGUUCAGUCUCUCACUUCUGUCUUUUUCGCAAGAGAAGGGUUGAAGGAGACAACUAGCAGAUCUUAUUGUCAAAACUAUGUGGAGAUUUCAAGGGUCGUCAAGGCACGCUCAUCACCGUGGGCUUUGGCAAUCUUGGACUAUAUUUACCUGGGUUAGAAGGGAAAAGACUGGAAACCCCAUUCCUUUUAAAGCAAAGCUAUAUUAAUAAUCUUUUGGUAUGCAUCACGUUUUUCAGAUUGAGACACAGUAACUGUACCAGUCUCUGUACCAUAGUUUUUGAUUGUUUUUUUAAGAACUUUUUUGUAUUCAAGACUUUGGCUGUACUUUCUACUAAAAAUGUAAUUGCAAAUCAAUGGUAUAAUUGUCUGUAGUCAAAGAAUGGGACAUUCAAGAUCAUUGGGCAGAUAAUGACCCAAUUGAAAUGUUUGUUACAAAAUCUGGGGGUGCUUAUUUACAUGGAGGGAUGUGUAUAUUCUUGAAAACAAUGUAUUGGUGAAAAGGGAUUCUUCACACAACAGUUGGACUCAUUGUGUAGAGCUGUUCAGCCUUGUUCAUAUGCACUGAAAUCUUUCACAGCUAUCUGAUUUGUAAGUCUACUUUUUUAUUUUUUAGUAGUUCUUGAUACUGUGAUUAAGUUUAAAGACAUCCCUUUAAACCAAACAGAAAUAAAUUGGCUAAGAACUUCUCCCAAGAGAUUUGAGGGACUAAUAAAGAAGUGGAAGCCUUG